UGACAUUGCUGAAAGCUACACUGCUUGAGACGAGAGCAAAAUUACUGCUGAGAGGUGGCCAUUUCGACAGUGGGGAAGAGCUGUGCAGAACUUGCAUCAGUAUCAGGACAGUGAUGCUAGGGCACAACCAUGCUCAAACAUUAGCUGCUCAAGAAACAUUAGCCAAGUUAGUGAGAAUGAGGAGUAAGAUAUGAUGUUGUAUCUCGAAAUAUAAUAGUCUUAUCCACGGACAGACUCGAUUUUGUUCACAUUGUAGUCAUCUGCCAUUAACUAGUUAGCUUAUAUAAAAGCUAUCAAUUCAAUGUACUCUCUCAGAAUCGUGCGAUCAUCGAAUCAUUACUUUCUUGAGUGACAUUCUUAUAGAUGCACAUUCAUGAUGUGUGUUGGUAAAGUAAAUUGGACAACAUGGAAUAGUAUUGACGAAGAAUUCUCGUUCACAUAUUAUUAACAAGCAUUGUUAAGGAUCAACAAGAAAGAACCAUAACGCCCAAACCAAAAAUAGAAAAAUAAUUGAGCUCUGUUGAUCAAUUACCACGGUGUAGUAAAUGAAACUCCAGCACUAUACGAGAACUCGAAGCAGUCGAUUCGGAGGCGAUCAACCCUUAGAAACCGCUUUAUAUCAAUCCAGAUUUCUUAAAACUCCAUGAAUAGCCAUGCCAAGUGCCUUCCAAUGUUAAUCGACAAAUUAUUCCAAUUGCAGUGGUAGGUUUUGAUGCGAUGAAACACGGUAAAAAAUCAAAAGCUUUUCUUCUUCGUACCGGGAGAUAACAUAAAUCAAUCAUCAGUAAACUGAUUAAAUUUCUUUGAUUAAAAACUUAAAAUUAAUCGGAGUGCAGAAUUCCCUCCCACGAUGUUGCAUUCACUUCAAGAUUUUUUUGUUUUUUUGGGGGAUCGUGGGUGUCCGACCUCGACACUGGCCGUAAAGCUUAAGGGUACUCGAUCUGGUAAUCAUUGAAGAGCAAAUUCAAUGACUAACCAUUGAACUAUCCCUCGAAAUUGC
rnacentral:lncRNA from 1 species